ACAAGUACCGUGAGGGAAAGUUGCAAAGCACUUUGAAGAGAGAGUUAAAGAGGACGUGAAACCGAUGAGGUGGAAGCGGAUAGAGCCAACGCAUCUGGCUCGCAUUCAGCUGCCGGCCGGCUGCCGCCCCCUCGCCAGACCCGCCUCGGGCUGGCUCUGGGCGGUGGGCAGUUGGCUAGUGGUGCAUUUGCGAGUGGAGUGCGCUGAGGUGUGUGCUGCAGCGGCUCGAACCGCCGCGUAGAGGACUCCCCCUCACGGGGGAGAACCCCACCGGCGGGGAGGGCCGACUGCGGUGCAUUCAGCCACGGCGGGGCGGCCAGCAGGCGGUUGGCCGGAGGCCACCCCGCCCGGUCGGUGCCGGUCACAUGUGACACGGGCCGGUCGGGUGGGGCGGGCGUCGGCCGACCCCACCCCGUGCGCGAGUCUCGGCGUUAGAGUUGGUCAUCUCUCCGACCCGUCUUGAAACACGGACCAAGGAGUUUAGCCCAUGCGCGAGUCAGCGAGUGGAAAACUCACGGGCGCAAUGAAAGUGAAGCCACCCCUCGUGGGGGCGAUAUGCGAUCCGGUGGCCUAUCUGGGCCGCCGGCGCAGCAUAGCCCCGUCCCGAUCGCUUGCGAUGGGGCGGAGGAAGAGCGUAUGGGCUGAGACCCGAAAGAUGGUGAACUAUGCCUGAGCAGGACGAAGCCAGGGGAAACUCUGGUGGAAGUCCGAAGCGGUUCUGACGUGCAAAUCGAUCGUCUGACUUGGGUAUAGGGGCGAAAGACUAAUCGAACCAUCUAGUAGCUGGUUCCUUCCGA
rnacentral:rRNA from 1 species